AUGAUCUGGCAGCAGUGUUCUCUGGCCUUGGAGGGUUUUAGAGGUGUCCACUUGGACUUCACUGCCUUCGAGAAGACUCUGCUGGUUCUUCUUAGACCAGGUUAUGUGCCCUUUCAUGUACUCCUUACCUUGGUACUUAUCAGAAUCAUAACUGAAGACCAAAACCACCAAGUACUCCUGCCGCUGCCCUGCCGCCUUUACUGAGAGGCACCCCUGACAGGUAACUGGCGUUACCACCCACCAUCAUCCCACACACACUACCUCACCACCCCAGCCAACAUAAGGGACUUGCAGACCUGCCUCUGUGUAAUCAGAGCAGAUGAAAGAGAUUCGGGGACACAGAUGCUGCGCUUGCACUGCUGAGGGAGGGGAUGUCAAUUUCAAAGCCCUCUUUCCUAGAAAGAUGGACUCUGCCCUUGACACCCCAAAGAGUUGACUGGCCACACACGGUGGUUGAAAUUGGGAGCUACGUGUUGCCAUAAUUGGCACUGCAUGGUGCGCGAAGAGCACUUAUAUCAAGGUGUUACAGCAGGAUACCACGACUGGGGUGAGGGGAUCAGCUGCAGACGAUGGCUAAAUCUUGCAAGGGGUCACCAGUGCUUAGGGAAACUGCACUGGAGCAAUUCCCUCCCCGGCAGGGCAUGUUGAAGCCCCCUGGCGCCCUCACCUAUGAAAUAUGGAAAUGGUGAUGCUUGCCCCCCGGGAUCGUCACAAAGACUACAUGAGAUAAUGUGAGAAACCUUCUGCAAAGUGGACCCACAAUUAAUGUUAGCUCCCUUGCUACGCUUUUGCUGCUCAGUGUUUAACGCCUGGAUAAAUACUUCGAGUGUGGAAAGAGACGGGGAGCUUUUCAUAAUGUCAGAUUCAACCUAAAAGGAAAAGUCUGUGUUUGCAGAGUUCUAUCUCCCUGGAUUACCAGGCAGAUUCUGAAAUUUAUUAACCUUUUUAGUCAUUUGUGAACACCAGCAAAAGGACUUCUUUGAAUAAUCAAAAAAACCUCCUCAUUCCGGCAGCCAAAUAAAAGGAGGCCAGGUGUUCA
rnacentral:lncRNA from 1 species